rnacentral:tRNA from 1 species
UAGGCAGAAGUCUGUUGUUUGGGACGCCUAGCUGUUAACUAGGAAUAUCGUGGGGUCGAAGCCCACCUGUCUAG